AGAUACAAAAAAAAGUUUCGUAGUUAAAGAUGAAAUAGUAAAUACAAGAAAAAGCUGCAUAGUUGAAGAUACAGAAGGUCUUUGGAACCUGAAAAAAAGCCAUCAGGAAUUUAAAGUGUUUGAAAAGGAAUUUAAAGUGUUUCCAAAGUUUGUUAUUGAGCUAAUUAGAAAAAUGCACUUAUGCUAGAUUUAUUAGGACUAUUUAUUGAUCCAAAAAUCAAAUCAACUUUAGUAUUAGACAUAUUCAAAAUGGACAGGCAAAAGAAAUUUCUCUAUUUAAAAUUUAUGCUGAAGUUAUUUGAAAUUCGAAAUAGUAAAAUAAGUGGUCAAACUAUAAACAGAAUUAUUAAAGUUCUAGAAAUUACCUUUGAUGCUCGAAUAUGGUAUGAGCUCAUGAAAAUGUAUACUUGAUAUUUAAGAAUUAAUUGAACCUCUACGAUGUUGGCUCAAAUAUUUUUGAUAAAGUCAGAUAACAAAAUACAUCAAAGAUUUUUCUUCUUAUUCAGAAAGUCUUUAGACAUUAUGUACAACUUGUUUCCAAAGUUUCUCAUAUUGUUUAUGGUAUGGAAGCACGUCAAAACUUAUUGUGGAUAAAAUUCUAAUCA
rnacentral:lncRNA from 1 species